AGCUUUGCGCAGUGGCAGUAUCGUAGCCAAUGAGGUCUAUCCGAGGCGCGAUUAUUGCUAAUUGUAUUUUCCCAUUC
rnacentral:snRNA from 1 species